ACAGAACUCAUUUGGCAGGCCAAAACCUGAGAAGAUUCCUUACAGGAAGUGGCCUGUCUGACAAUUUCUUGCCCUCCUUGGUCAUCUCUAACAAAUACAGGGGAUCUCUGGCAUGACGUGACACUUCCUACGGCUCCCAUGGGCUCUCAGAAGGCGGGAAAAAGCUGAACGAUGUAAUUCCAUCCCCAGGCUGAAACACAUUAGCACGUUUGGCAAGUGCUCUAUCAGAGGGCCAUUAGACUGAGGCUCAUGCAUGAGGGGAUAGCAUGCUUUUACUUUCACUCUCUUUGUAAUAAAAAACGAUUUCCCGGUCGGAAUAUCAUUGCUUUUUUACGAGAAAAAUGGCAUAAAAAUUGAUUUUAAACAGCGGUUGACAUGCUUCGAAGUACGGUAAUGGAAUAUUUAGAAUUUUUUUGUCACGAAAUGCGCCAUGCUCGUAACCCUUAUUUACCCUUUCGAUAGUGUCUUGAACGCACGAACAAAACGCCGCUAUUUGGAUAUAACAAUGGAUUAUUUGGGACCAAACCAACAUUUGUUAUUGAAGUAGAAGUCCUGGGAGUGCAUUCUGACGAAGACAGCAAAGAUCCAGAUAAUACUCACACUACUCAUGAACAAUAGAUGUCAGGAAAUCAGGCAGGACAAUUUCCUCUUGCGGGUUUUGAAUUCCCUGGAUACCUGACAUGGGGAUUCUAUGGACGAUCACACUGGAUCUGUGCUGGAGACAUUCUGUCCAAUCAACAGAGAUGAUAUUUGGUGGUGGUUUGGUUGGUGUCUAGCAGGGGAGUGAGAGAGAGAGAGAGAGAGAGAGAGAAGGAUGGAGCAAGAGAAGGAGAGCAUAGAGUAGGAGAGAAAGAGAGAGAGGGAGGGAGGUAUAAGGGGAGAGGGGAAGGAAAUGUGAGGGAAAGAAGCUCUGCCUUAGUUUGGAGGUGUCAGGGGCCUGAUAAGUCCUGUUUAAACAUUCACUGGAACAGAAUGACGUAUGUCAACAGACGCCUGGUACUCAGGUCUCUGUGAUGUGAGCUGAGCCGCUAGCAGGCAGGCACACAGCGCUACAGGAACUAUAAAUCACAGACACUCGACAACGAGCAGUGAGUGACACCUUUGACCCACGCAGCCAGUAGCCCUGGCACACGCAUCCAAGCUAAACCAUCCCUCUCCUCUCCUCAUCUCCACCGCACCAUAUGACGGAUAUCACAUCCAGAACUUCCAAUUCUGAACACACUUCCAUAUAUCAAACGCCAUGUCACAACAAGUUGAAGUGAUCGACUGAAUUGGUGGCCUGGUAUUCAGAGAAUAUACCAGGGCUUACUGUAUACGAUGGCGAGGGUGGCAUGGAUCUAUGACACGGACAUCCUUUAGGACAGUUAAACCACAACCUGGAUGGAAAGAGAGAGCGCUAAGCCCAGGAGAGAACUCCCAGAACUCCCCUCAGACAGCCCAGUGAGAUUCUCAGGAAAAGGCAGACACGGUUUAGCGAUUGACUCCCACUGUUUGCCCAGAAUUUUGACGCUGCAACUCGAAGUCAAGAUGAGAAGUUUCCCAAGGCAUCUCAGCCAUACCCAUCUCUGGCCUGUCCAACCCAGGGCCAAGGCAAUGUCUUAUGUAUGACCGACACUCAUCACUCACCGACUGGAGUAGUUAUGGUGUAUUACAUAGUGAAGUGUAAGGAAUUCAGACACAGCAUAACGUGGAUGUCACGAUGCAGCACUUACUGUAUAGAAAAACGCAACACCCAAGGCACAUGUAGUUUAGAACAAUCCAGCAUGGUUGGAAUGAAAAACGAUGUCAUAACGAAAAUGUUAAUGGUCUUGAUGAAAAUAAUAAACUAUGUGAAAUCUUACCAGGUAACAAUAAUGUAAAUGCCUGCACCAAAGCCUGCCACCUUAUCCUCCAAUGGAGACGUUUCUUUUUAAGUGGCUAAUUGUCUUUUUAUUUUAAAAAAUAUGCGUACAUGUUUAUAGAUGAUGUAAUGUAUUAUAGAUGCAGCCUGUACCAUGUUUGACCAUGUGUAAGGGUCCUGUGUGUAGCUGGUGUAGAGAGUUAGGCGCAGAACAGCAGGUAUGAGUAAUCAACGUGCUUUACUCAAAAAGACAAAUAUACAAAGUAACAUCACGAGCCCACAAAGACGGACCGGAUUACAAUAAACAAUCACUCACAAACACAACAUGGGGAACAGAGGGUUAAAUAAUAAACAAGUAAUUGGUUGAGUGAAGCCAGGUGUGUAAGACAAAGACAGAACAAAUGGAAAAUGAAAAGUGGAUCGGCGGUGGCUAGAAAUCCGGUGACGUCGACCGCCGAACGCCGCCCGAACAAGGAGAGGGACCGACUUCGGCGGAAGUCGUGACACCAUGAUUGUUUUUAGAGUCUCAAAACUCAAUUUGAGUUGGCCACAAUGUGGCUAAAAAAAAAAAUCUAUAUUUUGUAUUAUUGUAUCAAUGUGGAGUGACAGUUCAAUAAAGGUUUCUAAGUCUAACUCGUUCUAGGCAUACGGCUCAGUGAGUCUUAUCAUUGUCUUAUCCUACCGUUCAAAGGAUAGACUAUUUUCGACAUUGUACAACAAAUAGGAUAAGGCGUAGGCUAUGGAUCCCAGCCGAUAUCUUACAGUCAAGAGAAGUCAAAGUAUGUUAUCUGCACUGUACGUAGUGUUUUAAUUCCAUUCCACCGUUGAAAAGUUGUCAGACUAUCACAUUGAAUAGAAUAGAAAGUUGUCAGAGUGUGUGAUAUGUGGGGGAGUAUGUUGAGUGUAAGUACAUUAGACCAUAUGUUUUGUUAGUUUGUUUUGUGCCAAUUCUGUAGACUUUGUUAUCUUUGACAGGAUGUCGCGUGGGUGUAGGCCUACUGUAGCAGUAGCUCUUCUGUACGCACUCUGAGGAAGAGGGGGACAAAUCCACAUGGUGCAAUGGUUACAAGGUGUGUAAUCAUAAGUCCAAAAUGUUUUGCAACGGCAUCCGUUUACUCCAAACGAAAACAAAAAAAGAGAGUUUCUAUUUGAAAAAUUCAGGUAGAUCCCUCCGUUUGGUUCCAUUUGGUUCCUAGUGAAUGUACCCCUGGGAUUCAGGUGUGUAGGCCUAGUCUGCUGUCUUGGUGUUGAGCAGGUGGCUGGAACUUCAGGCAAACAGAGAGAGAGAGGAAGGGUUACGGGUAAGUCACAUUUUUCCAUCUCUACUAGUUUUGAUACUUGGGCCUCUUUGAUGACACAAACUAGGUCGAGGAGAGAAUGGUGUGUAUUGUAAAGAGACGGAUCUACAUAGAUUAAAAUCUCUCUUUAAGAGAUGUCUUCUACACUACCUCCGCAGGUAGACGGUCUUCACACUGACUAGACUUUUCGCAAAAAUACUCUCAGCAGCUCAUUUUGUGACACUCACCCGACAGUUACCCCCCUCUAAGCAGGGCAGUUUAAACAGAAUUGUCUCGUUAAGCCAACACUCCUACAGUAAAAGUUGUAAUAGCAGAGCAAUUUCACAGUUGAAAUCUCCAGACAUUUUUCAUUUUUCUAAAAUCACCAGGGAAUUAUAAAAAUGUUCAGUCACAAUUUGCUUUUUACCUCAUAUCAUGACUUCCAUGAUAUUGAUAAAAUGAAACCUGGUUUGUUUGAAGGUAACUUUAAUGUCUCCUCACCUUGCAAGCUAAAUAUUUUGGCGGCAAUUUUACAAAUUUUGCCAUGGGGCAGAGAAGGAAAUUUGAAGUUGUACAGCUAAUUUUCUGCAAUUCCACACAUUUUUCAAUAGGGUAGAGAGAAAUGUUUUGAGUUUUUAAUAUGAUAUCUGAGUGAGAGUAACAAACAUAAUCAAUGGGGGCCCACCGAUCAGGAAUUACAGGUCAGACGCUAAAUUGUCUGUUCUGGCAAAGGUAUUGGAGUCCCUAGUCAAUAAGCAGCUUAAGGCCUACCUCCAGGAAAACAAUAUUUUGAGUGGUAUGUAAUCAGGUUUCAGGUCUAGAAACAGCAUUGUCACAGCAACUUAGAGAGUUUUGAGUGAUAUUAACUGAAGCUGCAUUGUGUAUUCAUAGACUUGUCAAAGGCAUUUGACACUGUGGACCAUACUGUCUUGGUGCAGAGACUGAAGUUCAUUGUUAUUACUGGUCAUGCUCUCGAGUGAUUUGUGAACUACCUGUCAAAUUGAACCCAGUGUGUUAAAGCAGAUGGUUGUAAGUCGGAGACCAUAGAGUUAUGCUCGGGUGUGCCUCAAGGAUCAAUUUCAGGUCCCAGGUCCCAUGUUGUUUGUUAUCUAGAUCAACAACAUUGGGAGACAAAUGACUAUCGUCUCUUUGCCCUCACCCUGGUCAUCAUGAAGUGUUUGGAGAAGCUGGUCGUGGACCACAUCCAGGCACACUGGACCCAAUUUGCCAACCGCUCAUACAGGUCCAUUGAAAAAUGCAAUUUCCAUCGCUAUUCACACCAAAAACACCUAUGUGAGAAUGUUGUUUAUUGGCUACAGUUCACCAUUCAACACUAUUGUUCCCUCCAAGCUCGACACCAAGCUCAAAUACCACCCUCUGCAACUGGAACCUGGACUUCCUGACGGGCAGACCAAAGGCUGUGAGGAUUGGCAACAACAACAACAUCUCCUCCACACAGGCUCCUCCCUUCAGGGGUGUGUCCUCAGCCCUCUGCUGUACUCCUUGUUCACCCAUGACAGCGUGGCUUUGCAUGACGCCAACUCCAUUAUCAAGUUUGCUGACGACACCACGUUGUACGCCUGAUCACCAACCUCGGCAAGUCAGCCAAUGCAGAGGAGGUAAGUGGCACCACAGUACCAUGCUGAGGGCUCGAUGGUGCCAGGCGUGACGCUUGGCAUUCAGGCCUAAGUGUUCAAUCUUAGCUUCAUCAGACCAGACAAUCUUGUUUCUCAUGGUCUGAGUCCUUUAGGUGCCUUUUGGCAAACUCCAAGUGGGCUGUCAUGUGCCUUUUACUGAGGAGUGGCUUCCGCCUGGCCACUCUACCAUAAAGGCCUGAUUGGCGGAGUGCUGCAGAGAUGGUUGUCCUUCUGGAAUGUUCUCUCAUCUCCACAGAGGAACUCUGGAGCUCUAACAGAGUGACGAUCGGGUUCUUGCUCACAUCCCCGACCAAUGCCCUUCUCCUCAGAUUGCUCAGUCUGGUCGGGCGGCCAGCACUAGGAAGAGUCUUGAUGGUUCCAAACUAAUCAAAUUUAAGAAUGAUGGAAGCCACUGUGUUCUUGGGAUCUGUGCCUCGACACAAUCCUGUCUUGGAGCUCUACGGACAAUUCCUUCGACCUCAUGGCUUGGUAUUAGCUCUGACAUGCAAUGUCAACUGUGGGAACUUAUAUAGACAGGUGUGUGCCUUUCCAAAUCAUGUCCAAUCAAUUGAAUUUACCACAGGUGGACUCCAAUCAAGUUGUUGAUUGGAGUCAUCUCAAGGAUGAUCAAUGGAAACAGGAUGCACCUGAGCUCAAUUUCGAGUCUCAUAGCAAAGGGUCUGAAUACUUAUGAAAAUAAGGUAUUUCUAUUUUUCAUAUUUUAUAAAUUAGCAAAUAUUUCUAAAAACCUGUUUUCGCUUCGUCGUUAUGGAGUAUUGUGUGUAGAUUGAUGAGGAUUUAUUUUUAUUUAAUACAUUUUAGUAUAAGGCUAUAAACGUAACAAAAUGUGGAAAAUGUCAAGGGGUCUGAAUACCUUCCGAAUCCACCGUACCGUAGUUGUUUCUAGUUGUUACCCGAUGUCACUAGUUUGCGUUGCCUGAUGUAAGGAAGCAUGUUGUUUUAUUUCACACACACCACACACCACACUCAUGCCUGCAUGCACACACACGCACAUUGACUGUAUGUUUGCUGUUGUACUUGUGCUGUUGCCAGCGUCUUCUGUCGUUUUGUUGUACUUGUUUUUUUUUUGGGGG
rnacentral:lncRNA from 1 species